CAACCCUCGAGCCCCCCCGGGGGUCCGGCGUUGGGGAUCGGCACUUUCACCUGCCGGCCCCGAAAUGCAGUGGCGGUCUCGCCGCAGCGUCCCCUGCGCAGUAGUUUUUUUGCACAGCUCGCAACGGGAUCGCGGCGCGCCCACAGCCGUUAAACACCCCACAUUCUGAAAAGG
rnacentral:misc_RNA from 1 species